AAUCAAACAUGGGAAAACACAGAAAUGAAAGUAAAAAAAAGAAAAGGACAUAAAGGGGAAAAAAUAACAUAUAUAAAUAGAAUAUAUAGAAAAGAAAAUUAAAAACAGGAAAGAUAAACUACAAAAAAACAGACAAAAAAAGAAAAUAAAACAUUUAACAAAAAACAGUUACAAAAUUAAAACAGCAAAAAAUAAAAAAAUAGAUUAGAAAACAGAAAAGGGAAGCUAUAAAAACAAAAAACAAAAAAAGAGAUAAAAACAAGGGGAAAAUGUGGGGAAAACGGAAGGAAAAAAGAGAAAAAAUAAAGAAAAACUCAAAAAAUAUUUAUACACAGAAAAAAUUAAAAAAUAAUAUAAUAAAAAAUAGUAUGUAUAUUUUAUAUAAAAACAGAAAAAUCAAUAAAAAGAAAAGAAAAAAACACAGAAAAUGAAAGAAAACCAAAGGAAAGGACAUAAAAGGAAACAAAUAACAAUAUAUAGAAAUAGAAUUAGAUAAAAAAAAAAGUAAAAUAAAGAGAAACAUUAAAAAAACAAAAAACUGAAAAAAAAUAUUUAUAAAAAAACAGAAAAGGGAAAUUAAAAAACAAAAAAAGAUAUAAAAACAGGGGGGAAUAGGGGAAGAAAAAGAAAAAAAAGAAAACAGAAACAUAUUUAUAUAUAUAAACAAAAAAAAAACAAACACAUAAUCCUAAAAAAAGAUAAACCCCACGAAAAGAAAACUAAUUAAAAAGAAAAAAAAGGGCAAAAAAGAAAAAACAGAAAAAAAAUGAGAAUGACAAGAAAAUAAAAUAGCAAAAACUAAAAAAAAGUAAACAAAGAAAAACUAAAAAAAACGAAAUAGAAAGGGGAAAAUUAGAUUAAAAGACAGAAACGAGGAAUUGAAAUAAGAAAUCAUACAGGAGACAAUGGUGAAAAAAUGAAAAACAGGAAACACAAAGAAAAAGCAAAAAUAAUAUAAUUAAAAAUAUUAUCUAUAUAAUACAAAAAACCUUAACAACACAUGGCCACAAUUAACAAAACUGUAAAAACUAAAAAAAUGAAAAGAAAAAAAGAAGAAGAACAUAGAAGAAAAGACAACAAGUCUAAAUAGUUAUAUAUAUGCGAAGGUAGAUACAAAUAACGUUGUGAAAAAAUUUUAUCUAAAAAAAAAAAGACAAUAAACAAUACGACAUAAGAAAAAUUAUAAAAUAUAAAAUAAAAGAGGUGUAGAACCAUGAAAGAUGACAUAACAAAUACAUCGAUAGAAAAUGUCUAAACAGACAGCACAGUAUUAGACCUACUCAAAGGAACAAGUCAAACCAUAUAAUCAACAACAAUAGUAGGACCACAAAAUAAGGAAAAAACUGACAGAAUAUCAAGAAAAAAAGCGCGUUAAAAGCAUGUAAAAACAAUAAAAAAAGCAAUAACAAACAUAAUAAACUCAAUACGAGAAGAACACAAUGAUAAAAAACCAUCAAGGACGGAAAAACAGAGAACUGAAUGAGUGGUGUUGAGUGGCCAACAAAACAGACAGAUAAAGCAUAAAAAAAAAAAGGAAUGUGUUGACAAGUCAAUGCUAACAAUUAGAAAUCAUAAAAAGAUGACACGACGAAACCAAUUGGCGGAACUCGGAACAAACAAGAAGUAAGAUAAAUUUAACCCAUAUGUCAUAAAAGCGCAGGCAAAUAAUGGCAAGAAGCAGAGUACAUUCAACGGCACAUAUAUAAAAAAAUAGCCGCGGUGAAAAUAUGUUCUGUCGUUUUUAUAAAAUAGAUUAGUGCGUCACACAUUCAACGUGCACUGGUAAACGACCCCUGACCAACAAAAUAAAAACGACUACACAUCUACAAUGCAGAAGCGACCUAAAAUAAAGGUUUUCUGAUCACAACACGUAACAAAAAAUUCUAGAUAAAAAGAAGAAAAGGACAUAAACUAGACAAAACAGUCCGAUCAAAAUUAAUUAUAAAUAUGCUCGAAAUAAAUGAAAAGAUAUCAAAUCGCAAUCUAAAAAACAACACUCGAAUACACCCACCGCAAAAAAAAAGAAGAUCUAACAAUAUAUCUAUAUAGAUAAAUAUAUUAUAUAAAUAUUAAUAACAUAUCAAAUCGAUCAAAAAAACGUAAAAAAAAAAAACAGUUCAAAAAUUUAAGACAUGAAAACACAAAAAUAGGAAAAAUAAAACAUGAGAAAAACGUAAAUGAAAAUUACUCGAAAAAAAUAUACUAAAAAACUAGAAAACAGGAUAAAAAAACGGCCUGGCUAAGGGCAAAAUAUUUAUAUAAAAAUAAAAAAAAAUAAAAACAGAAAAAGAGAUAAAGAAGAAAAUGAAUAAAAAUAACAAGGGGAAUAAGGAUAAAAGAAACAAACAAUGAAAAAAGACAAAAAACCAGUAAAAAAUAAUAAAAGACUUAAAUAAAAAGAAAACAAUAAAAAUAUAUAGAUUACAAGAAAAUAGAAAAAAAUAGAAAAACAGAAAAAAAGAAAUAAGAAAAAAAGUCAAUAAAUUAGAAAUAGAAAAAA
rnacentral:lncRNA from 1 species